UUCGGGCGCCGGUGAGUGGCGAACGGGUGAGUAACACGUGGAGACCUAUCCAUUGGUGGGGGACAACAGCUGGAAACGGCUGCUAAUACCGCAUAAUCCCUACGGGGGAAAGAUUUAUCGCCAUAGGAGGGUUCCGCGUCGGAUUAGCUAGUUGGUGGGGUAACGGCCUACCAAGGCAACGAUCCGUAGCUGGUCUUAGAGGAUGAUCAGCCACACUGGGACUGAGACACGGCCCAGACUCCUACGGGAGGCAGCAGUGGGGAAUAUUGCGCAAUGGAGGAAACUCUGACGCAGCGAUGCCGCGUGGGUGAAGAAGGCCUUAGGGUUGUAAAGCCCUUUCAGUGGGAACGAUGGUGACGGUACCCACAGAAGAAGCCCCGGCUAACUCCGUGCCAGCAGCCGCGGUAAUACGGAGGGGGCGAGCGUUGUUCGGAAUUAUUGGGCGUAAAGCGCGCGUAGGCGGUUUAUUAAG
rnacentral:rRNA from 1 species